rnacentral:rRNA from 1 species
AACGCGAAGAACCUUACCAAGGCUUGACAUCCCUCUGACCGGUUUAGAGAUAGACCUUUCCCUUCGGGGGCAGAGGUGACAGGUGGUGCAUGGUUGUCGUCAGCUCGUGUCGUGAGAUGUUGGGUUAAGUCCCGCAACGAGCGCAACCCUUAUCUUUAGUUGCCAGCAUUUAGUUGGGCACUCUAGAGAGACUGCCGGUGACAAACCGGAGGAAGGUGGGGAUGACGUCAAAUCAUCAUGCCCCUUAUGUCUUGGGCUACACACGUGCUACAAUGGGUGAUACAAAGGGCUGCGAGACCGCGAGGUUAAGCCAAUCCCAAAAAGUCACUCUCAGUUCGGAUUGUAGGCUGCAACUCGCCUACAUGAAGUCGGAAUCGCUAGUAAUCGCAGAUCAGCAUGCUGCGGUGAAUACGUUCCCGGGUCUUGUACACACGC